CUACGGGGGGCAGCAGUGGGGAAUAUUGGACAAUGGGGGAAACCCUGAUCCAGCAAUGCCGCGUGUGUGAAGAAGGCCUGCGGGUUGUAAAGCACUUUCGGUUGGGAGGACUGCUUCUAGCACUAAUAUUGUUGGAAGUUGACGUUACCUUCAGAAGAAGCACCGGCUAACUCCGUGCCAGCAGCCGCGGUAAUACGGGAGGGCGCAAGCGUUAAUCGGAAUUACUGGGCGUAAAGCGCGCGUAGGCGGCUAGAUCAGUCGGGUGUGAAAGCCCCGGGCUUAACCUGGGAACUGCAUCCGAUACUGUCUAGCUUGAGUACAGGAGAGGAGAGUGGAAUUCCACAUGUAGCGGUGAAAUGCGUAGAUAUGUGGAGGAACACCAAUGGCGAAGGCAGCUCUCUGGCCUGAUACUGACGCUGAGGUGCGAAAGCGUGGGGAGCAAACAGGAUUAGAUACCCGUGUAGUC
rnacentral:rRNA from 1 species